GUCAAAGUUUUUAUGGCUAAUAUUAUAUAUCACUUAUUUGAUCAGUUUAAAGCUUACAUUGACACUAUCAAGGAAGAAAAAAGGAAGGAAGUUGCUUAAGAAGCAGUCCUCCCCUGUGUGCUCAAGAUCGUACCAAAUUGUGUCUUCAAGAAGAAGGAUCCAAUUGUUCUGGGAGUUGAUGUUCUUAAGGGCAUUUUCAGGAAAGAUUGAGGAGCUUGAAUUGAAGAAGAAGCAACAAGAAACCAAAGCUAUUGAAACUUCAAGGAAAGCUAUUCCAUCAAUGGAAAAGUGCAAGAAACAAUUAAUGAU